AAGAUUUCUUACUGGAGAUCUCUCUUUUGUGGAGUAUUUCUGUGAGCCUGAAUCUCUGGAGGUGAGAAAGCAUCUCUUCAACUCAGUUGGGGUUGGCUGGGAAAUGGGAAAGAAAAAGAAAGAAACACAGCAACAACAACAACAAAGUGUAACACACGACAAAAGGAAUCUAGCAGAGCUACGAGAUGUGGAGAGUCUGAAUUUGCAAGACUGAUGUUCUGAAAUCACCCAGGGAAAAGAUCAAGACUGUUUUUUUUCUCCGUGAUGGUGGAGAUGGAUGGUACUGCCCUUGCAAGCAGAGAGGAAAAAUUGCUUCCCAAGGUAAUGAGAAUAGGAACUAGAUGCUGCAUCAGGGACAGUCUUUCUGCUACUGGUUAUGCUACACAGAUGCGGGAGGGGAAAUCACCUGAAUGGAAUAUGGAACCAAGCAUUGCCCUCACGCAAGGAGCGUUCUGUGACUGUGUCCCUUUUCUGACCACAUUGCCUCUCCAUUGUCAUCCAGGUUUUCUGAAACGAAAUAGGGAGGCUUAAGAAUGCCACUGAAAGAACACGGGGCCUGUGGCUGUUGGCAGUUUUUGUGUGAUUGGAGUCUGUAUUUGUGAGCAUGAAGUUGCAAGCACAGAGAUCAUGAGAUUUUAGACAUGGGCUCUUCCCCUCAUCUGUCAAGCUGAGGAAGUCAUUCUGUGACAGCUGAGAGAAGCCACCUCAAAGAAGAUUGCUCACAUGAUAUUAUAUAUAUUAAUUUUAUGGUUAUAAUCUUUUGCUGUACUUGCAUACACUGCAGGUCCACUAGCAGGGAUUUCUACUCUUCUUGACUUAAAUCAUCAGUCAUCUUGAAGCUGUACAACAGUAACUCAUGCAACAAUAAGAGUAGCCACUAGGCUCCAUAAUGGCAUUGUUCUCUUAGGAAACAUGUACUGAUUUUUGACUUUCUCAGAUUGCUGCUUCAUGAUAAUGAGAAUGCAAACCAGAGCACACUUUGAAUGGAAUGAAAAUGUUGAGAAGGUUAAAAAAAGUGUGCUGCCAUUCAGUUGAUGUCAUAUGUUAGAGGAGGAAGAGUGAACAGCCUUUGCAAAUGCAGCCAGUAAUGUAGAUAAAUAACAGAUGCAGCUAGUGACCUGAAUGCAUUUAGAGAAUUCCAGCUGCUCCACUCAAUGUUUAAUAGGCUAGAAGUUACAAUUUAUUGUUACAUAAAUAUUCGAUAUAUUCCUACAGCCCUGACGCGUAGGUGAAAACAACAAUCAGCAUAAAGAGGAACAUAAAUUUUUAUUAUAGGCUUCACUUUAGCAACAGAUGCUCAGUGAAAAGACUGAAAGUUAAGGUAAAAAUGAUUACUCCGGGAAACUUAUCAAUCACAAGAAAUGCUAUGAAAGUGGCUUCAUAUAUACAGGGAUUUUAGUUUAGGAGGCUUUUUUUUUUUCUUCUUCAGGUUAUGGCAAGAAAGAGUCAGUAGUACACUUAAUAAAUGCAAAUGUCUUGUGGUAUAUAGAGAAAGCUGAAGUCUGAGAUGAGAGAAUUUUAAUUCUUCCUGCAUUGUAGUUAAACUUCUUUCUGAAAUCUUCCAAAACUCUCCUGCAUUAUGCAACUUCACAAGAAUCUGUGCUCAUGCUUAGCAGUCUAAGAAGUAAUAAUGGUAUUUUCAUUAAUCAUAAAUUUAGCAUGGUAACAAAUUUGUUUUGAGAAAUGCAUGUUCGAGUAAUAAAGUGUUUCCAUUCAGCAAUUCCCAAUCCAGUUCAAGUAGGAAGAGAAUGAACUUCACUUUUGAUACAUACCCUUUUCUUUGAUAUGUGCGUACUUCAGAUGGCCUUUAUUAAUUCCAUUAGAAGUAGAGUUAGGAAAGAGUAACCUAUGGUAACUAAAGUGUUUUAUCAUUUAUUAACAAUGGAACUCAUUUAAAAAUGAGCUAAUUAGUAGGAGUAAGAUGUUGAUAUUCACUGAAAAAUGAUAUGAGCACUAUAAAAGAAAUUAUCUAAGUACUAGCUUAUGUUAACCUCCUCUUCCUCAAUUUAACUUGAUUUCUGAGAGCUGAGCUCUUUUCUUAUUAAGUUUUAUCAAUCCGUUGUCUGGAUGCCACUCAGUUGUUUUUAUAUGAAUAAACUGCUCAAUCAAUCAGUAAUUAUUCUUUCCACACGAAAAGCUACAGUAGGGUGGUAAGGUGAAGAGGUGGUGAAUGAGAGUGUAAAAAUAAUUAAGUGGGUUUUAUGUUGAGCUGUGUACAAUUAAUAUUCAUUCUACUAUUUUUGUUGCCAUUAGCAUUAGUAUUAUUUAAUCAGUAGAAACCUAAACUCAUUUCAUUGGUGAUUUUCUAGACUUUGUUUUUUUCCAUAUACAAGAUAUUUUAAAAAUGUGUGUAAACACAGAAAAAGGUAUAAACCUACUUUAAAAUCUCCCUGACUCGUGUCCUAAAAUUUGUUUAGCAAAGGUAUUGUUAUAAACAGUAUGGACUAUAGUGAGAUUGUGAAAGCUGUUGAUUUUUCUUGAUUUUGCAUUGUUGAAAGCUUUCUUGACUUUGCAUUUGUUGAAAGCAAACAAACAAUCAAAAAAACUACAUUGGUUUAUUUCAUUUCCUUCUUUCCAUAGCACUUUUAGUUCAAAUUCCUUUUUUCCACACAUCAGGUGUUGACAUCCUGCUUGUCCAAUAUGUAGUAUUAACAUGGAACAGUCAUGCCUACUAGGGAAAGUUCCUGUUUCUGCUUAUUAAUUCUAGAGAUAAUGGACAUACUUACAGAAGAAUUCAUGUGUGUAAUUGAAUUUCUCCAUGCAGAAAAAAUGGCACCCAUUGACAGUCAUCAAAAUUUGCUGAAUGCUUACAGAGACCAAACUGAGGAUGUGUGCAUAGUUAGGUGAUGGGUGGUGCACUUCAGCUGCAACACCAUCUUAGCAAGUAUGAAACAGUGGGUCAUCUCCACUGAUGCAGAUUUUUAAGAGCAUGGCACGCAGGCUCUUGUUCAUCACUGGUGUAAACGCAUGGCAAAUGGUAGUGACUAUAUUGAAAAGUAGAAUUUUAUAGCUGAUAAUUUGCUGUAUCAAAUAGCAUUAGUGGGAUCUUUGUAUCUGAUGUAGUUUCUAUGUAAAUAAGGAGGCAUUACUUUCUGAGAAACCUACAGACACACCUUUCCUUAAUGUGUAUUUGCAAAUCGAAUGCCAAUUUGUCAGACUGCCCCUCUUCUGCCAUCUGUUGUGCAGCAACAAAAUAUUGGCAAGA